AAGCAUGCGGAACGGGAGAGUUGGAGUGUAAAACCUUACAGUAAGUUUCGUGAAGAAGUUUCUGGUUUACCUCCUUCACGUAAGCAUGAAGAUCACCUUAGGACAAUGCUUGACGUUAAGAGGAGAUUUGUCAGUUCAAGUGCAACCAGUAAGAAUUAAGGACGAACUGUCAAGUGAGUCAAGGUCAUCUGGGAUGGUAGAACAAUCGAUUCUACCUGGAAGUUGGAGGUGAGAUGAGAGAAACCUACCUCUACUUGUUCUGGUAAAGCUUAAUUUUCGAGGACGAAAAUUUUUGUUGUUGGGGAGAAUGUAAGGACCGUCUAUUCUUUGGAAAAGAAUAGUGGUGGAGGUGGGCCUCAUGUGGGUGGUUACACGUUUCUGGAAGAAGGAGGGGCGGCUGCAUUUUUGGAAGUGGGUCUCUCCACCUUUGCUGAACGUGCUCCAAGCACCACCAGGAAGCCUCCAUCAGCAUUAUUUUCUUUUGGGCAGCAAACGUGGUGGUGGGUCUUCCCACUUUGAAAGUGUUCCAGCCACCAAGAAGUGCUCCAAGCACCAUCAUCACUUACCUUCAUAGUGGGAUUGAGCACUGAGGAUAGAGAAGGGGGACGGCUGAGCUGGCACCAGCAGUGGAGUACACCAAUUCCUUUCUUCUUAAAAAGGGAAAUCAGGGAUUGAAGGAGGUUGGAUGCUGCAGCUGGAGAGGAGAGUAAGCUUGCUGCAGACUUGGGAGAAGUGAGGCAGAGGUCGUCCGGCGUUGUAGCUGCAAGCUUGAGGAAGGUAGAUUCAAGUGAAGUGUUGGGUGCUACAUCCAGAGGUGAGGCAGAGAACGUCCAGAGCUUUACUGAAUUCAAGAUUUGCUAGGAGGUCUUCAAGAGAUGUUGUCGCGGAGAUUCCUUUGGAGCAAGAGCUGGAGGAUACUAAGGUUGCGGAGUAGUCUUCUUAGGAGUUGCCCAUCUGAGCACGUGUAGUGUUCGACUCUUUAAGCUAUUUAAGUUUGAAUUUCCGUUUUCUUUUAUUUUUGGAUGACUGUAAUUUUACAUUUAAUUACACGUCAUGAUCCGACUGUUCUCUAUAUUUGGAAUGUUGACGUCUUGAUUAUGUAAUAUUUGUUAUUAUAUAAUCGGGAUGUUACAGAACACAUAUAAAUCCAUUUUUGUC